rnacentral:rRNA from 1 species
GACGAACGCUGGCGGCGUGCCUAAUACAUGCAAGUCGAACGCACAGUUUAUACCGUAGCUUGCUACACCAUAGCCUGUGAGUUGCGAACGGGUGAGUAACGCGUAGGUAACCUGCCUGGUAUCGGGGGAUAACUAUUGGAAACGAUCGCUAAUACCGCAUAAUAUUGAUUAUUGCAUGAUAAUUGAUUGAAAGAUGCUAUUGCAUCACUACCAGAUGGUCCUGCUUUGUAUUAGCUAGUAGGGGAGGUAACGGCUCCACUAGGCGAAGAUACAUAGCCGACCUGAGAGGGGGGACGGCCACACUGGGACCGGGGAACGGCCCAGAACCCUUCGGGAGGGAACAGUAGGGGAACUUCGGCAAAUGACGAAAGGCUGACCGGGCAACGCCGCGGGAGUGAAGAAGGUUUUCGGAUCGGAAAGCUCUGUUUUAAGAGAAGAACGGGUGUGAUAGUGGAAAGUUCACACUGUGACGGUAUCUUAUCAGAAAGGGACGGCUAACUACGUG